GGAGAGACUGGCUGUCACUGAGAGAGCUGGACAGAGCUUGGCUGUCACUGAGAGAGCUGGAGAGGCUGGCUGUCACUGAGAGAGCUGGAGAGGCUGGCUGUCACUGAGAGAGCUGGACAGAGCUUGGCUGUCACUGAGAGAGCUGGAGAGGCUGGCUGUCAGUGAGAGAGCUGGAGAGACUGGCUGUCACUGAGAGAGCUGGACAGAGCUUGGCUGUCACUGAGAGAGCUGGAGAGGCUGGCUGUCACUGAGAGAGCUGGACAGAGCUUGGCUGUCACUGAGAGAGCUGGAGAGGCUGGCUGUCACUGAGAGAGCUGGAGAGGC